rnacentral:lncRNA from 1 species
CCGUUGAGAGGGAGCGUGCUAGGGAGGCGGGGCCUCUGGCUGGGGGCGGGGCCUCGGCGAAGGACUGCUUAGCGGCAGCUUUGGGCUUGAGCUAUUGCUCUGGACUGGAGCGCAGCAUCCUCGCUACAGGCACUUGGGCUGUAGCACCUGGUCAGGUGGCAUUCACCAACACCUUUUGCUUUUCUGUUACCUUUAUCUUCAUCCUCAUCACCACGACCACCAGCAUCAACAGCAUCUCUCUUCUUUCAUCAGAGUUCUUCAAGUUCUGUAAAGGCAGACUGUGUUCAGGCAUGCAGGCUCAUUGCUGGAGAUGACUGUCAGCUGCCUUCUCUGCGAAGUCAACAUCACAUGCCUCACCACUGGAGCCUGGGAAGCCUGACCACAGACCGGCAUCUCCAAGGCAUGAAUAAUUAGGUAGGCAUAAUGGAAGGCACUCACUGCACCCUUCGAUUGCGUAAACCCAUUACAGAACUCUGCUACAUCAGCUUCUGUCUUCCAAAGGGGGAAGUCAGAGGAUUUUCAUACAAGGGCACUGUAAUUCUAGACAGAUCCAAUAAAGGUUUUCAUAACUGCUACCAAGUCAGGGAGGAGUCAGACACCAUUAGCCUCAGCCAGCAGCUGAAUGAACUUCCAGGCGACAUAUUUUUCAAGCCGACUCCCACGAAAGACAUUCUCACUGAGCUGUACAAGCUCACAGCAGAGAGGGAGAGACUGCUGGCCGAUCUGUGGAGCUCGAACCACAUCCUGGGCAUUUCCAUGGGGAACCAGGAGGGGAAGCUGCUGGAGCUGUCUAUGAGUCUGGCUCCUGAGGACGACUGUUCCCAGGGUGCUGGUGACUGGUGGGAGGAGUGCCCUGUGGGCCAGCUCAAUAAGAGGAGCACCCAUGGGAACAAAAAGCCCCGAAGGUCUGGUGGAAGGAGAGAGAGCUUUGAGGUGCAGAAGAGAACAAGAAGGAAAGGGCGUGGAGGCCAGGAAUCCACUCCUCAGAUGGGGAAGGACCAGAUCUCUUCCAGCAAUUGCCUUCCUCCUUCUGGAGCAUGGCUUAAUCUUCGGCUCCUAGAAGAAAGAGGAAACUUGGUUCCAAAUGGAGUACUCACAUCUUCCCUGCAGAGGAGAGAAGGCUGCCCUCCAGACAUCCCUGUGACACCAGAUGCAGACCUUGGCUUUGCGAACUUCCAGACGGCCUCAGAGGACACUGGGCUUGGAAGAGGACUGCUGCCCCUUGACAGCAGCGCCACAGAUACAGUAGAGGAUGGUGUUCAAGAGCCACCCAGGAGGCCUCACAGGCCGGAGCAUCAGCAGACAGGUUUGCCUGAAAGUCAGGAGGGUGCUAAGAAGCAUCCUGAGGCCCAGAGGGGUGGCCUAGGGAAGCUGGCUGAGCAGACCUGCAGGAAGAAACCCUUUUCCAAAGUGGUGGCCAAAGUCCGGGGUCUGUUCACUCGGGUGCAAAGAGUAGUUAAUGUGGAUCCCGAGCGUGAGGAAAAGAUUGCUGUUAACCCAGAGGUCAAAGCUGAGUUUGUAACCAGCGUGGACUCGCUCACCCUCCCAGGAGCUGAGGCUGGGGCUCAUGGUUCCAGGUGGCAGAGCAAGAAGCAGCAAGGGACCAGGUCGCUGCAGUUGCCAGCCAGAGAAAAAGCCUCUGUUUCUAGCUUACCAGCCAGCACCGACAGGGCUGUGAACAAGGUCCUCCGGAAGGUGAUUGAGAGUGAGAAGUUAGACGAAGCCACCAAGGGGCAGAGGCUGAGUGUCCCUGUCAACACGAGGGCCACCCAGGGCCUCCCAGAAACCAGAAGCAAGAGAAGGACUGGGGUGCCCCGGAGGGGCCACAAAUCCUCAUUUGUGGAUCUGCCCCACACUAUAGGUCCUGACUCCCUAACUCUAGAGUGCAGAGGUGGUGAGAGGAAGCCAUCGGCCCCAGUACCAGCAGCUCCCGGCAUGGGAUUUAAUAAUUCAUCCUCUCAGUCCAGCUCACACCAGCAGCAGCCACCUGCUCUCUUGCCUCUCUAUCCAAGGCAUCCCAGCCCUCACCAGCAUCACAGGAUCCUCCAGCUUCCUCCACCGCCCAGUGAGAGGGAAAGUGCUCUUAAUGACUCUCCCAGUAGACAGAGCAGUAUCUUCUCUGCAUCCCUCUCUGCUGACACAUUGGAGCCACCAUCUUCUGCAAAGGUCACGGAGACCAAAGGAGCCAGCCCGGCCUCCCUUGGAGCAGACCAACCUCAGUUGGCAGCUGGGGAAGCUUCGGAAAAGAGCGUGGGCCUGGGAGACACCACAGCCGAGCCUCAGCAGCCAUCACCUCCAGGUGUCUUCUCCGAGGGCUUUCCUUGGGACCACUUCAGUGAGCAGACAGCUAAAGACCUCCCCAGCAGGGAUGCAGGUGCUUGGGUCCUGGACUAUAGAGCAGGCCCACCCUGUCCCUUUCUGCUCCAUGAGGAGUCAAACAGAAGCAAAUUGUACUUGGAUCUCAAUCCUGACCAGAGCCCCACAGAGCAGGACGACAGGACUCCUGGCCGACUCCAAGCUGUCUGGCCACCCCCAAAGACAAAAGACACAGAAGAGAAAGUGGGAUUGAAGUACACGGAAGCAGAAUACCAAGCUGCUAUUUUACACUUGAAGAGGGAGCACAAAGAAGAAAUUGAAAACCUGCAGGCCCAGUUUGAACUUCGGGCAUUUCAUAUUCGGGGGGAGCAUGCAGCGAUUACAGCGCGGCUGGAAGAAACCAUUGACAAUCUCAGACUCGAGUUAGAACACCGGCGGCCAGGAGGGUGCGUGGAGCUGAGAGACGCCUGCGUGUCCACCGACGACUGCCCUCCAAAGGCCUACAGAAACGUGUGCGUCCAGACCGACAGGGAGACCUUCCUCAAACCCUGCGAGGGUGACAGCAAGACAACCAGAAGUAACCCCAUAGUGCCCAAGAAGCUGAACAUCUCCUCCUUAAGCCAGCUGUCUCCCUCAAGUGACAACAAAGACGCCCCCACACCACUUCGGAAUGGGGAAGGCACAUCCCCAAGUCGCCCAAAGACGGCUCCCCCACCGCCCCCGCCCCCGCCCCUUCCCAUCCCACCCCCUCCACCCCUCCCACCUGGACC